CUUCUUAGAGGGACUAUCGUUGUUGCAGACGAUGGAAGUUUGAGGCAAUAACAGGUCUGUGAUGCCCUUAGAUGUUCUGGGCCGCACGCGCGCUACAAUGCUAGGUUCAACGAGUCUGCGACUUGGCCGAGAGGCCUGGUUAAUCUUGUGAAAUCCUAGCGUGCUUGGGCUUGCCUCUUGCAACUAGAGGCACCAACGAGGAAUUCCUAGUAGACGCAGGUCAUCAACCUGCAUCGAUUACGUCCCUGCCCUUUGUACACACCGCCCGUCGCUUCUACCGAUUGGUCGUCCCGGUGAACAAUCGGGAGGGCGCGCACCAGGUCAGCAAUGGCCGGCGCGCGUCCGAACUUUUGUAAAUUUGGUCGACUAGAGGAAGAAGAAGUCGUAACAAGGUUUCCGU
rnacentral:rRNA from 1 species